CCUACGGGAGGCAGCAGUGAGGAAUAUUGGUCAAUGGACGAGAGUCUGAACCAGCCAAGUAGCGUGAAGGAUGACUGCCCUAUGGGUUGUAAACUUCUUUUAUAUGGGAAAAAAAUGUUCCACGUGUGGGAUUUUGUAUGUACCAUAUGAAUAAGGACCGGCUAACUCCGUGCCAGCAGCCGCGGUAAUACGGAGGAUCCGAGCGUUAUCCGGAUUUAUUGGGUUUAAAGGGAGCGUAGGUGGAGUGUUAAGUCAGUUGUGAAAGUUUGCGGCUCAACCGUAAAAUUGCAGUUGAAACUGGCAGUCUUGAGUACAGUAGAGGUAGGCGGAAUUCGUGGUGUAGCGGUGAAAUGCUUAGAUAUCACGAAGAACUCCGAUUGCGAAGGCAGUUCACUGGACUGCAACUGACACUGAGGCUCGAAAGUGUGGGUAUCAAACAGGAUUAGAUACCCUAGUAGUC
rnacentral:rRNA from 1 species